UUUAUCAAAAACAUUGCUUUAUGAAUAUAAUAUAAAGUAAUUCCUGCCCAGUGAAUAAUUUCAACGGCCGCGGUAUCCUAACCGUGCAAAGGUAGCAUAAUAACUUGCCUAUUAAUUGUAGGCUAGAAUGAAUGGAAAAACGAAAUAAAAGCUGUCUCUAUCACACACCUAAAAAUUAUUUUCUACCUGAAGAAAAGUAGAUAUUUUCGAAGGACAAGAAGACCCUAUAGAGCUUUAUUUAAAAACAAAAUUUAAUUGUUAUAUAAUUCGGUUGGGGCGACCAAGGGACAUUUAUCACCCUAUAAAUAUAAAGACUAAUAAAUCAAUUAAUUGACCCUAAUAAGAUCAUAAAAUUAAGUUACCUUAGGGAUAACAGGCUAAUCCUAUUAUAGAGUCCUUAUCGACAAUAGGGUUUGGCACCUCGAUGUUGGCUUAGGAUAUCUUUAUAGCGCAAAAGUUAUAUAAAGAUGGUUUGUUC
rnacentral:rRNA from 1 species